ACGCACUAGACGGAGAGGUAGCGGUGCUCUGUAACCUGCAAUCCGCUGUAGCAGGGUUGAAUUCCCCGGCGGAGGUGGCGGUGCUUGGAGCCUGUCCCCGGAUAAGUGGCGUUGAUGGUUGGACCCUGCGCAAUAAGACCCUGCGAACCCUGUCAGGUCCGGAAGGAAGCAGCAGUAAACAGGCAAUCUUGUGUGCCGCAGAAUUCUCUAACCUGAGCAAACUGUCCGGGUAACGUCUGAACACGGCUGAUCGACCCGGGGUGUGCGU
rnacentral:SRP_RNA from 1 species